CUGAAUUUCAGAACUAAAGUUUAAACCAGAGAUGCCUCAGUGGUUCCAAACCAGUGAAGUCUAACACGUGGUGGUCGUCCAAGCUGCAGGAGGUCCAGCCCAGUCCAGAGCACAACAGAUGCCCAAACAAGUCAGAGCAGAGCA
rnacentral:lncRNA from 1 species